rnacentral:sRNA from 1 species
ACUCGAGAGCCGCCGCGUUUCGACGCAGCAGCCUUUCGGAGGCGUUUCGGGGAGGAAACGUCCGCUCCGUAGAGAGCGAAAGAAGCCCGCCGCGAUGUAUCCCCCGCGGCGGGCUUUUUC